rnacentral:rRNA from 1 species
AUUGAACGCUGGCGGCAUGCCUUACACAUGCAAGUCGAACGGUAACGCGGGGCAACCUGGCGACGAGUGGCGAACGGGUGAGUAAUGUAUCGGAACGUGCCCAGGUGUGGGGGAUAACUGCUCGAAAGAGCAGCUAAUACCGCAUACGAGCUGAGGGCGAAAGCGGGGGAUCGCAAGACCUCGCGCAAUUGGAGCGGCCGAUAUCAGAUUAGGUAGGUGGUGGGGUAAAGGCUCACCAAGCCGACGAUCUGUAGCUGGUCUGAGAGGACGACCAGCCACACUGGGACUGAGACACGGCCCAGACUCCUACGGGAGGCAGCAGUGGGGAAUUUUGGACAAUGGACGCAAGUCUGAUCCAGCCAUGCCGCGUGCGGGAAGAAGGCCUUCGGGUUGUAAACCGCUUUUGUCAGGGAAGAAAAGGCUCCUUCUAAUAUAGGGGGCUCAUGACGGUACCUGAAGAAUAAGCACCGGCUAACUACGUGCCAGCCGCCGCGGUAA